rnacentral:rRNA from 1 species
AUAUCAAUAAGCGGAGGAAAAGAAACCAACCGGGAUUGCCUUAGUAACGGCGAGUGAAGCGGCAAAAGCUCAAAUUUGAAAUCUGGCUCUAUUUUGGGGUCCGAAUUGUAAUUUGAAGAAGCGACUUUGGACCUGGCUCUUGUCUAUGUUCCUUGGAACAGGACGUCACAGAGGGUGAGAAUCCCGUGCGAUGAGAAGCCCAGGUUCGUGUAAAGCGUUUUCGACGAGUCGAGUUGUUUGGGAAUGCAGCUCUAAGUGGGUGGUAAAUUCCAUCUAAAGCUAAAUAUUGGCGAGAGACCGAUAGCGAACAAGUACAGUGAUGGAAAGAUGAAAAGAACUUUGAAAAGAGAGUGAAAAAGUACGUGAAAUUGUUGAAAGGGAAGGGCUUGAGAUCAGACUUUGUUUUUCCAUGGCGCUCUUUCGGGGGUGUCCUCUGGGUCUACAGGGCCAGCAUGGGUUUUGCGGGCGAGACAAGGACUCAGGAAUGUGGCUCUGCUUCGGUGGAGUGUUAUAGCCUGGGGUACUGGUCGCCAUGCGGGACCGAGGACUGCGGUACUAGGAUGCUGGCAUAA